rnacentral:rRNA from 1 species
UACGUAGGGGGCGAGCGUUGUCCGGAAUUACUGGGCGUAAAGGGCGCCUACGGCGGUUUCUUAAGUCCGCUGUGAAAGACCGAGGCUCAACCUCGGGGUGUCAGCGGAGACUGGGAGACUGGAGUGUCGGAGAGGAGUGCGGAAUUCCUGGUGUAGCGGUGGAAUGCGUAGAGAUCAGGAGGAACACCGAUGGCGAAGGCAGCACUCGUGGCCGAAGACUGACGCUGAAGCGACGAAAGCUGGGGGAGCGAACGGG